ensembl:lncRNA
CUGGGAGACCAACCUUUGGCGCAACUGCUCGGGCCCAGCCAGUUACCAGGGCCAGCAUCGCCUCCAGGUCCCCCAGUGUCUGUGCGGAGAGGGUCUGUCAGCAGCUCAAAUGCCUUUCACACUGAUGGAAACCUGGCCCCUUAGCUGGACAGAGUCCAGUGUCCAGGAGUGACUGGGCUGGCAAGGGGCUCCUCCAAAGAUAAAAUUGUUUCCCAACUGCUUCCUGUGGGAGUCUUGGAAGGAGUCCUUGGUUUGAGGUGGGGAAGAUGGAACCAGGAAGUGAGAUCGGGCAAUCACGGAAGGCCCCUCAGUCAGGUGAUGGAGCUCGACUCUGGGAGAAAACGAGGAUCUACGUGCCCUCACACCUCAGAGAUGGAUUUUCCUGCUCUCUUCUAAAUAAAAUAGAGCUGUAACACUGAUAUGUCUAAGAGCUAUAACAUGGUCCUUUCGAGACCUGAGAGCUGUGACACGAUGAGGGGGCUUUAAUGUCCGUCACUCCGAAUCUUUGUUGUGACCAAAGAACCAAGGAACAUACAUUCGCGUGACAGUACAUCAUUUCCAUAGAUACUGGG